rnacentral:rRNA from 1 species
AUAAUGGGUCAGCGACUUAUAUUCUGUAGCAAGGUUAACCGAAUAGGGGAGCCGAAGGGAAACCGAGUCUUAACUGGGCGUUAAGUUGCAGGGUAUAGACCCGAAACCCGGUGAUCUAGCCAUGGGCAGGUUGAAGGUUGGGUAACACUAACUGGAGGACCGAACCGACUAAUGUUGAAAAAUUAGCGGAUGACUUGUGGCUGGGGGUGAAAGGCCAAUCAAACCGGGAGAUAGCUGGUUCUCCCCGAAAGCUAUUUAGGUAGCGCCUCGUGAAUUCAUCUCCGGGGGUAGAGCACUGUUUCGGCAAGGGGGUCAUCCCGACUUACCAACCCGAUGCAAACUGCGAAUACCGGAGAAUGUUAUCACGGGAGACACACGGCGGGUGCUAACGUCCGUCGUGAAGAGGGAAACAACCCAGACCGCCAGCUAAGGUCCCAAAGUCAUGGUUAAGUGGGAAACGAUGUGGGAAGGCCCAGACAGCCAGGAUGUUGGCUUAGAAGCAGCCAUCAUUUAAAGAAAGCGUAAUAGCUCACUGGUCGAGUCGGCCUGCGCGGAAGAUGUAACGGGGCUAAACCAUGCACCGAAGCUGCGGCAGCGACGCUGAUGCGUUGUUGGGUAGGGGAGCGUUCUGUAAGCCUGCGAAGGUGUGCUGUGAGGCAUGCUGGAGGUAUCAGAAGUGCGAAUGCUGACAUAAGUAACGAUAAAGCGGGUGAAAAGCCCGCUCGCCGGAAGACCAAGGGUUCCUGUCCAACGUUAAUCGGGGCAGGGUGAGUCGACCCCUAAGGCGAGGCCGAAAGGCGUAGUCGAUGGGAAACAGGUUAAUAUUCCUGUACUUGGUGUUACUGCGAAGGGGGGACGGAGAAGGCUAUGUUGGCCGGGCGACGGUUGUCCCGGUUUAAGCGUGUAGGCUGGUUUUCCAGGCAAAUCCGGAAAAUCAAGGCUGAGGCGUGAUGACGAGGCACUGCGGUGCUGAAGCAACAAAUGCCCUGCUUCCAGGAAAAGCCUCUAAGCAUCAGGUAACAUCAAAUCGUACCCCAAACCGACACAGGUGGUCAGGUAGAGAAUACCAAGGCGCUUGAGAGAACUCGGGUGAAGGAACUAGGCAAAAUGGUGCCGUAACUUCGGGAGAAGGCACGCUGAUAUGUAGGUGAAGUCCCUCGCGGAUGGAGCUGAAAUCAGUCGAAGAUACCAGCUGGCUGCAACUGUUUAUUAAAAACACAGCACUGUGCAAACACGAAAGUGGACGUAUACGGUGUGACGCCUGCCCGGUGCCGGAAGGUUAAUUGAUGGGGUUAGCGCAAGCGAAGCUCUUGAUCGAAGCCCCGGUAAACGGCGGCCGUAACUAUAACGGUCCUAAGGUAGCGAAAUUCCUUGUCGGGUAAGUUCCGACCUGCACGAAUGGCGUAAUGAUGGCCAGGCUGUCUCCACCCGAGACUCAGUGAAAUUGAACUCGCUGUGAAGAUGCAGUGUACCCGCGGCAAGACGGAAAGACCCCGUGAACCUUUACUAUAGCUUGACACUGAACAUUGAGCCUUGAUGUGUAGGAUAGGUGGGAGGCUUUGAAGUGUGGACGCCAGUCUGCAUGGAGCCGACCUUGAAAUACCACCCUUUAAUGUUUGAUGUUCUAACGUUGACCCGUAAUCCGGGUUGCGGACAGUGUCUGGUGGGUAGUUUGACUGGGGCGGUCUCCUCCUAAAGAGUAACGGAGGAGCACGAAGGUUGGCUAAUCCUGGUCGGACAUCAGGAGGUUAGUGCAAUGGCAUAAGCCAGCUUGACUGCGAGCGUGACGGCGCGAGCAGGUGCGAAAGCAGGUCAUAGUGAUCCGGUGGUUCUGAAUGGAAGGGCCAUCGCUCAACGGAUAAAAGGUACUCCGGGGAUAACAGGCUGAUACCGCCCAAGAGUUCAUAUCGACGGCGGUGUUUGGCACCUCGAUGUCGGCUCAUCACAUCCUGGGGCUGAAGUAGGUCCCAAGGGUAUGGCUGUUCGCCAUUUAAAGUGGUACGCGAGCUGGGUUUAGAACGUCGUGAGACAGUUCGGUCCCUAUCUGCCGUGGGCGCUGGAGAACUGAGGGGGGCUGCUCCUAGUACGAGAGGACCGGAGUGGACGCAUCACUGGUGUUCGGGUUGUCAUGCCAAUGGCACUGCCCGGUAGCUAAAUGCGGAAGAGAUAAGUGCUGAAAGCAUCUAAGCACGAAACUUGCCCCGAGAUGAGUUCUCCCUGACUCCUUGAG